rnacentral:lncRNA from 1 species
UUUCUCCCACCUUUCUUCUCGCCCUCAAUUCCUCUUUUCCCCUCCACACUACUAUAAACAAUGGAUGAGCCUUCAAAAUUCACAAAAUCAGGCAGAAAUAUACUGUUUUUCUCUAUUUCUUUAACAAAAGAAUCUUUUAUAUUUAUUAUUUCUUUUUUUGUUUAAUUAAAACCCAACUGAUUAGGGUUCGAGUUUCGUUCCUCCUACGAUGCUGCUUCAGUAUCCUAGCCGUGGUAGUAGCGUCACUGAUUCUGACGACUCUUAGGAUAACGAACGGAGCUGUUUUGAUUAUUGUUGUUGUAUUUUGCUAUUUGGAACUGGUCAUGCCUGAAUAAUUUGUCCGGUGGCCCUUACUGUUGUUAUUUGUACACUUUUCGGCAAAACUCAUAUCCUCAGGUGAACAUCCCCUUGGUUCUGUUUCGUUACUGUUUUUCCAUUGCACUUGUUUUGGUUAAGUUGGUUGAAAUAACGUGGUGAAUCAAGGUUACAAUUUACCGCUAAGGAGUCCGAAUCUUGAGGCGUUCACUACCCAACGACUUCUGAUUUUUUGCUUAGUGUUCUUGCAUAUUUGGAGUUUUGCUUUUUGUCGAAGAUUUUCAGUGCUUGUGUGCGCUUGCGCGCUUCGGUGUUAGUGCCUCCCUUAGGAAAUCUUCAGUUGCUGGGUGGGAUUUUGAAAGGGUGAUCUUUGUUGGUGGUUAGGGAAUGACUGACGGUGGUUAUAUACAUAAAGAUGUUGUAAUGGUGUCUAUGAAGUUGUUUAUUGGGGCAUUUUGAAAUUUUCUUCCAUUUUUUAAUUAUUUACUUACCUAUGUGGCACUAGUAAUGACGUGGCGUCCUACGUGUAAGAUAUUGUAUUACACGCACUGGUAGGUUCCUGUGAUAAGUGUUU